rnacentral:rRNA from 1 species
AGAGCGAACGCUGGCGGCAGGCCUAAUACAUGCAAGUCGAACGGACCCUUCGGGGUUAGUGGCGGACGGGUGAGUAACACGUGGGAACGUGCCCUUUGGUUCGGAACAACUCAGGGAAACUUGAGCUAAUACCGAAUGUGCCCCCAUCCUUAAACAAGAUGGGUGGGAAAGAUUUAUCGCCAUUGGAGCGGCCCGCGUCUGAUUAGCUAGUUGGUGAGGUAAAGGCUCACCAAGGCGACGAUCAGUAGCUGGUCUGAGAGGAUGAUCAGCCACACUGGGACUGAGACACGGCCCAGACUCCUACGGGAGGCAGCAGUAGGGAAUCUUGCGCAAUGGGCGAAAGCCUGACGCAGCCAUGCCGCGUGAAUGAUGAAGGUCUUAGGAUUGUAAAAUUCUUUCAGCGGGGACGAUAAUGACGGUACCGCAGAAGAAGCCCGGCUAACUUCGUGCCAGCAGCCGC